rnacentral:rRNA from 1 species
UGCGAUGGAGGGACGGAGAAGGCUAGGCCAGCUUGGCGUUGGUUGUCCAAGUUUAAGGUGGUAGGCUGAAAUCUUAGGUAAAUCCGGGGUUUCAAGGCCGAGAGCUGAUGACGAGUUGUCUUUUAGAUGACGAAGUGGUUGAUGCCAUGCUUCCAAGAAAAGCUUCUAAGCUUCAGGUAACCAGGAACCGUACCCCAAACCGACACAGGUGGUCGGGUAGAGAAUACCAAGGCGCUUGAGAGAACUCGGGUGAAGGAACUAGGCAAAAUGGCACCGUAACUUCGGGAGAAGGUGCGCCGGCUAGGGUGAAGGAUUUACUCCGUAAGCUCUGGCUGGUCGAAGAUACCAGGCCGCUGCGACUGUUUAUUAAAAACACAGCACUCUGCAAACACGAAAGUGGACGUAUAGGGUGUGACGCCUGCCCGGUGCCGGAAGGUUAAUUGAUGGGGUUAGCGCAAGCGAAGCUCUUGAUCGAAGCCCCGGUAAACGGCGGCCGUAACUAUAACGGUCCUAAGGUAGCGAAAUUCCUUGUCGGGUAAGUUCCGACCUGCACGAAUGGCGUAACGAUGGCGGCGCUGUCUCCACCCGAGACUCAGUGAAAUUGAAAUCGCUGUGAAGAUGCAGUGUAUCCGCGGCUAGACGGAAAGACCCCGUGAACCUUUACUGUAGCUUUGCACUGGACUUUGAGCCUGCUUGUGUAGGAUAGGUGGGAGGCUUUGAAGCGUGGACGCCAGUUCGCGUGGAGCCAUCCUUGAAAUACCACCCUGGCAUGCUUGAGGUUCUAACUCUGGUCCGUGAUCCGGAUCGAGGACAGUGUAUGGUGGGCAGUUUGACUGGGGCGGUCUCCUCCUAAAGAGUAACGGAGGAGUACGAAGGUGCGCUCAGACCGGUCGGAAAUCGGUCGCAGAGUAUAAAGGCAAAAGCGCGCUUGACUGCGAGACAGACACGUCGAGCAGGUACGAAAGUAGGUCUUAGUGAUCCGGUGGUUCUGUAUGGAAGGGCCAUCGCUCAACGGAUAAAAGGUACUCCGGGGAUAACAGGCUGAUACCGCCCAAGAGUUCAUAUCGACGGCGGUGUUUGGCACCUCGAUGUCGGCUCAUCACAUCCUGGGGCUGAAGCCGGUCCCAAGGGUAUGGCUGUUCGCCAUUUAAAGUGGUACGCGAGCUGGGUUUAGAACGUCGUGAGACAGUUCGGUCCCUAUCUGCCGUGGACGUUUGAGAUUUGAGAGGGGCUGCUCCUAGUACGAGAGGACCGGAGUGGACGAACCUCUGGUGUUCCGGUUGUCACGCCAGUGGCAUUGCCGGGUAGCUAUGUUCGGAAAAGAUAACCGCUGAAAGCAUCUAAGCGGGAAACUUGCCUCAAGAUGAGAUCUCACUGGGAACUUGAUUCCCCUGAAGGGCCGUCGAAGACUACGACGUUGAUAGGCUGGGUGUGUAAGCGUUGUGAGGCGUUGAGCUAACCAGUACUAAUUGCCCGUGAGGCUUGACCAUAUAACACCCAAACA